rnacentral:rRNA from 1 species
GACGAACGCUGGCGGCGUGCUUAACACAUGCAAGUCGAACGAUGACGACCGAGCUUGCUCGGUCUGAUUAGUGGCGAACGGGUGAGUAACACGUGAGCAACCUGCCCUUCACUCUGGGAUAACCUCGGGAAAUCGGGGCUAAUACCGGAUAUGAGCUCCUGUCGCAUGGCGGGUGUUGGAAAGUUUUUCGGUGAAGGAUGGGCUCGCGGCCUAUCAGUUUGUUGGUGAGGUAGUGGCUCACCAAGGCGAUGACGGGUAGCCGGCCUGAGAGGGCGACCGGCCACACUGGGACUGAGACACGGCCAAGACUCCUACGGGAGGCAGCAGUGGGGAAUAUUGCACAAUGGGCGAAAGCCUGAUGCAGCGACGCCGCGUGAGGGAUGACGGCCUUCGGGUUGUAAACCUCUUUCAGCAGGGAAGAAGCGAAAGUGACGGUACCUGCAGAAGAAGCGCCGGCUAACUACGUG